GGGGGUAGAGUUAUAGGUCGGUUGUUGUACAAGAGUACUAGUCGGAUUCGACCAGAGAGUCUUACUCUAAUUGCUACGAGUAGUUUCAUAAUCCUCGACUAGUUUUUUAUCCGCCACAUAGACCACGCCGUACAGUGGGUCCAUAGAUGUAUGGCCGACAAGCCCCCAAGUACUUUUUAGUCAAAUGCAGCAGUCCCGAC
rnacentral:lncRNA from 1 species